rnacentral:rRNA from 1 species
UACGAAGGGGGCUAGCGUUGCUCGGAAUUACUGGGCGUAAAGGGAGCGUAGGCGGAUAGUUUAGUCAGAGGUGAAAGCCCAGGGCUCAACCCUGGAAUUGCCUUUGAUACCGGCUAUCUUGAGUGUGGGAGAGGUUAGCGGAACUCCGAGUGUAGAGGUGAAAUUCGUAGAUAUUCGGAAGAACACCAGUGGCGAAGGCGGCUAACUGGCCCAUUACUGACGCUGAGACGCGAAAGCGUGGGGAGCAAACAGG